CGCGAUAGGAAGGCUCUUUCCCUCCACAUCGUCGUGACUCGUGAUUCUGCCUGUGUUCGGUAGGUUCCUCAACUCCUCGGUGCUAACAAUUGUGAUUGAUGCGAGUCUGGAUUCAAGUCGCCUAACUUAAUAGCAACCAUCGUCUUAGCUCUUUGUGGAGUUGAAUUCAGAUUCAACAACUCCUUGAUGUAUGAGCAAGGAAUUGGUCGGUUAUCGGAAGUGGAUUUGAAUUGGUAUUUACCAAUGUCCCGCUGUACGAACAAGUUUGCUCAAACUUGAAAUGAAUAUCAAGAAUUUCUAAUUUGCAGCUUCUGUUUUACUCAGCGGUAAGUCAUUUGUUGAUUAGACGAGAAAAGAAUAAAAGAACUUGUGAAUUUGUUUUUGUCACGGAUGCUGUCGGACUAUGCAUAAAUUAUAAUAGGAUCUGCUUGCUUGGUGUCCUUGUGUCUGUUCUCUGUUGCUUCUUGUACAUACGGAGGACAUGGCUGUCUCACGGCCAAGCAUGCAUUGAUACUAUUUGCCCUUGCCUUUUUAUUUAAGAACCAUUCUCUUGUA